rnacentral:lncRNA from 1 species
GCUCACUCUUGACAACAGUCUUCUUAUUCAUUGAUGUGCUAACUUACAAAGAAGUACCAAUGGGGGGAGUCUAUAUCAGCUGACCGGAGAAAGGCUAAGCUUACUUUGCCACGACACCUUAGGGGUAUUUCUAUGGCUUCUUAGUCUUCAUGAUUGAAACUCCGUUAAUUAGAAAUGAGUUGAUAAGUAUGAAAAUAGAAUGAUAAGCAAGUUUAUAGCACAUGCAUGGACCAUAUUUUCAUUUCUAAGGAGUUACAAACACUAAAUAACAUCUAGUAAUACAUAAGUUAUAGAAUUGGUUUCUUGAUGUUACUAGGAUGUGGUUCUCCCUUGUUUUCUUCAAACCUAAAGAAUCACAGAAGAAAAAAAAUCAAAGAUUACCAAGAUUCUUACAUGCAAGACGAAUUUGUAAAGUUAGCCACACUUCUUUUGGUAAAUUUGAAAGCUUUGAACUCAAGGAAACUUCAAAAAUUCAUGGAUUCACUUUUCACCUAGAACAUAAUUUUUGUAAAUUAAAAUCAAGGAACUAAACUAAGGAAUUAACUUGAAUUAAGGCCAAAUGUAGAAUCCUCAUACCUUAAUUGAGUGGAAACCACUCUUGCAUGCAAGAAAAUGGAGGAAAAUAAGCUCUUCUCUCUCUAGGACCAAGACACCACACAUUGAGCAAGGAAGAAUAUAGAGUUGUAUUUGUU